rnacentral:lncRNA from 1 species
AGGAGAUAGAGAACUCUGAGUCGACAAGCAGAAAAGAGUCAGUCAGUGAACAGAAUAAGGGAUAGAAAGGUCUUUUAUGCUACUAACAAUCUUGCAGAUUUGGACCCCUUUAUUUGGGUAAGAUUUCAUGUAACCCCGACCUCAACCAAAUAUUGUUGAAAAAUCUUUUUCUUUUUCUUUUUCUUUCUGCACCGAAGAAAGCAUUAGGGUUACUAAUUGUUAGUGAUGCUUACUAGCUGUUAACGUGGAGUCUGACUAGGUUAGGAUUCUUUGAUUCCUUUAAAGAGGUUACAAGAUUGUAAAUGCAUGCUUUCCAAUGUAAGUUUUCUCAUUUUGAUUAAAGAGAAAACACCCCAUUCUGGCCUUGUAUUUACACAACAAUAUAAUGACGCUUGGGUGGAGUUGAACCAGAAUUUUGUCAAUAGGUAUUGUGUGAUAGUUUUUCUUUGCGUUUGACAUUUCCUAUUAAGCAUGAAGAUGGUGAAUUAUAGCUAGAAUUACAGUUUGGAUUG